CCUACGGGGGGCUGCAGUAACGAAUCUUGGGCAAUGGGCGCAAGCCUGACCCAGCAAUGCCGCGUGCAGGAGGAAGUCCUUCGGGAUGUAAACUGCUGUCAGGGAUUAGCAAGCGAAGGGACCUAAUACGUCCCCGAGUUGAGCAUUCCCAGAGGAAGCCUCGACUAACUCUGUGCCAGCAGUCGCGGUAAGACAGAGGAGGCAAGCGUUGUUCGGAAUCACUGGGCUUAAAGCGCGUGUAGGCGGCUCGGAAAGUGUCGUGUGAAAUCCCGUGGCUCAACCACGGAACUGCACGGCAAACUCCCGGGCUUGAGGCCGGUAGAGGUGCCUGGAACUCUAGGUGGAGCGGUGAAAUGCGUAGAUAUCUAGAGGAACGCCGGAGGCGAAAGCGGGGCACUGGGCCGGUUCUGACGCUGAGACGCGAAAGCGUGGGGAGCAAACAGGAUUAGAUACCCCAGUAGUC
rnacentral:rRNA from 1 species